rnacentral:rRNA from 1 species
AUGGGAAGAACAUGUGUUUAUGUUCAUCAUGUGGAUAAAGAGGCCUUUUUGAAAGGCAAUGUUGAGCCAGACUCGGAUGAGCUUGACAUGGUGUUUGAGAGUAGUCCUAGCUAUGCGGAUGUCUUGGAACAAGUGAGGAAGGAUUUGAAUUGGAUGGACCCAAGUGACGUUGUUGAGUUCCAGGGAAGGCAUAAUGUUGGUUUUGAAAUGCACAUCCAUUGGAAGACAAUGCGUGUCAACUCCGAGCAACGUUGGGUUGCAUACAAGGAGACGGUUGCCAAAUCUCUAGACAAGGCUCUUGAGUUAUUUGCCUCCCAGAAGGUUGUGUCUACUUUGCAUUUGGAUUUAAACCGGAACCCCCUCCCCGUUAGUUGCUAG